rnacentral:rRNA from 1 species
AACGCUAGCUACAGGCUUAACACAUGCAAGUCGAGGGGCAGCAUGAACUUAGCUUGCUAAGUUUGAUGGCGACCGGCGCACGGGUGAGUAACACGUAUCCAACCUCCCGCUUACUCAGGAAUAGCCUUUCGAAAGAAAGAUUAAUGCCUGAUGGUAUCUUAAGCACACAUGUAAUUAAGAUUAAAGAUUUAUCGGUAAGCGAUGGGGAUGCGUUCCAUUAGGUAGUAGGCGGGGUAACGGCCCACCUAGCCGACGAUGGAUAGGGGUUCUGAGAGGAAGGUCCCCCACAUUGGAACUGAGACACGGUCCAAACUCCUACGGGAGGCAGCAGUGAGGAAUAUUGGUCAAUGGGCGCGAGCCUGAACCAGCCAAGUAGCGUGAAGGAUGAAGGUCCUAUGGAUUGUAAACUUCUUUUAUACGGGAAUAAAGUGGCCUACGUGUAGGCUUUUGCAUGUACCGUAUGAAUAAGCAUCGGCUAACUCCGUGCCAGCAGCCGCGGUAAUACGGAGGAUGCGAGCGUUAUCCGGAUUUAUUGGGUUUAAAGGGAGCGCAGACGGGGGAUUAAGUCAGUUGUGAAAGUUUGCGGCUCAACCGUAAAAUUGCAGUUGAUACUGGUUCCCUUGAGUGCAGUUGAGGCAGGCGGAAUUCGUGGUGUAGCGGUGAAAUGCAUAGAUAUCACGAAGAACUCCGAUUG